GACGAACGCUGGCGGCGUGCUUAACACAUGCAAGUCGAACGAAGUGGCGAACGGGUGAGUAACGCGUAAUCAACCUGCCCUUCGGGGGGGAACAACAGUUGGAAACGACUGCUAUUCCCCAAUACUGAAGGGGGGGAUUGCGUCUGAGUGGCUAGUUGGAGGGGUAACGGCCAACCAAGGCGAUGAUCAGUAGCCGGUCUGAGAGGAUGAACGGCCACAUUGGGACUGAGACACGGCCCAGACUCCUACGGGAGGCAGCAGUGGGGAAUCUUCCGCAAUGGACGAAAGUCUGACGGAGCAACGCCGCGUGAGUGAUGACGGCCUUCGGGUUGUAAAGCUCUGUUAAUCGGGACGCGGUACCGGAAUAGAAAGCCACGGCUAACUACGUGCCAGCAGCCGCGGUAAUUC
rnacentral:rRNA from 1 species